CACUGAAGCAUUCAUUCAUGCAUGCAGCAUUCACUGCUCUCUGAAGGUCAUCUAAAGCAUUUCAUUUAGGUUGAGGUCUGGACUUUGGUUCAUUUUUCAGCCAUUCUGAUGUAGAUUUGUUGUUAGGAUCGUUGUCCUGUUGUAUGACCCAGUUUUGCUCAAGCUUUAGCUGUUGGGACAGUUUUUCUCUAGAAUUCUUUGGUAUUCAGAGAGGUGCAUGGUCGACACAACGACUGCAAGGUGCCCAGCUCCUGUGGCCCAAAUCACCACCUCCCACCUUUCUGCUGAUAGCUGGUAGGAGGUGUUUUUGCUGAUGUGCUGCGUCUGGUUUUUGCUGAAUAUGGUGCAGUGUUGCUGUUCUUUUUAGAGAGAGGAAAGUUUCUUCAGACAACUGUUUCCUGGGGAGAUACUGGCCUUGUAUUAACACACACCUGAAUGUUCUAGGUGCAGAGCUGCCUCUUUCUCUCCUCGCUCAGUGUGUAUGUGGGUGGGCGUCACAUUAACCACCUGUUCUCCAUCUUCAAGCAGUGCAAUACUUAAAGCUGACUCCCAUUGCUUGGUAACAUAUCUGAAUGAGUACAGGCUGUAAACCUGCCUUGCUUUAAAACAUUACCUGAAGUUCUUUGGUUCCUCCUGAGAGGCCUGUUCAUUGAAACCGUCAAACUUCUCUACUGUGUGCUGCAUUUGAGACAUUCAGGGUAACCUUGACAGGUGGUCACACUUGCUGAUGAUCAAUUAAUCAAGAGCAUGUGAUUAGCAGCACCUGGCUGUUACCUUCCUAAGUCGAGUGUGCUUAAUUUUUCACAGGACUGCAUAGAGUUGUGUGGAAGCCUUCUUGCCUGCAUAUGUGUAUCACAGAAAGUGCUGCAGCUUCUUUUUAUUAAGACUCACUGGCUGAACGUAUGAAAUGAGGAUAUGGAUGUUCAGAAGGUGGUUGUUUUUCAGGUAAAACCUGAUCUGUUGUCCUGGCGACGAGAGUGUGGUGGGGGUUCUGUUAUGAGCACUCGCCUUAAAGAAGAGGGCCACUGCAAAAUCACUGCAAUCACUGUGCUGAGUGACCACAAUCAUCCUAAGAUGAAAGCUUCCUCUUGUGCUGGAAGUAGUCUCUUCCAGGAUGUUAAUGCCCCCAUCCACAGGUCACGAGGGGUCAGCGAAUGGUUUGAUGAGCUGAAAAUGAUCGUUAACAGAGGCUUCAGCAGAGUUCCAGAAACAGAGAGAGUCAGUGCCAAGAUGAAGUGAAGUUGUUCUGUUUACACCUUUCCUUUCCAAAUACUAAAAAAAUACAAAUUCAGCUCUUUGCUCAGCACUGCAGUGCAUCGUCUCUGAGAAGCUGAAGCAAAACGACUCAGAUAAAAGA
rnacentral:lncRNA from 1 species